UACGAAGGGGGCUAGCGUUACUCGGAUUGACUGGGCGUAAAGGGCGCGUAGGCGGCUUGUACAGUCAGACGUGAAAUUCCUGGGCUCAACCUGGGGGCUGCGUUUGAUACGUGCGGGCUUGAGUUCGGAAGAGGGUCGUGGAAUUCCCAGUGUAGAGGUGAAAUUCGUAGAUAUUCGGAAGAACACCAGUGGCGAAGGCGACUUACUGGACACAUAUUGACGCUGAGGUGCGAAAGCGUGGGGAGCAAACAGG
rnacentral:rRNA from 1 species